rnacentral:rRNA from 1 species
CAGUCGCCACGGGAAUACCAGCAGCCCAAGUGGUGGUCGCGAUUAUUGGGCCUAAAGCGCUCGUAGCCGGGCCGGUAAGUCCCUUGUGAAAUCGGACGGCCUAACCGUUCGGCGUGCAAAGGAUACUGUCGGUCUUGAGGCCGGGAGACGUCCGAGGUACUCCGGGGGUAGCGGUGAAAUGUUCUGAUCCUCGGGGGACCACCGGUGGCGAAGGCGUUCGACGAGAACGGGCCUGACGGUGAGGGGCGAAGGCUAGGGGAGCAAACGGGAUUAGAUACCCGGGUAGUCCCUGUCUCUUAUA